rnacentral:rRNA from 1 species
AGUGAACGCUGGCGGUAGGCCUAACACAUGCAAGUCGAACGGCAGCACAGUAAGAGCUUGCUCUUACGGGUGGCGAGUGGCGGACGGGUGAGGAAUACAUCGGAAUCUACUUUUUCGUGGGGGAUAACGUAGGGAAACUUACGCUAAUACCGCAUACGACCUACGGGUGAAAGCAGGGGAUCUUCGGACCUUGCGCGAUUGAAUGAGCCGAUGUCGGAUUAGCUAGUUGGCGGGGUAAAGGCCCACCAAGGCGACGAUCCGUAGCUGGUCUGAGAGGAUGAUCAGCCACACUGGAACUGAGACACGGUCCAGACUCCUACGGGAGGCAGCAGUGGGGAAUAUUGGACAAAGGGCGCAAGCCUGAUCCAGCCACACCGCGUGGGUGAAGAAGGCCUUCGGGUUGUAAAGCCCUUUUGUUGGGAAAGAAAAGCAGCAGGUUAAUACCCCGCUGUUCUGACGGUACCCAAAGAAUAAGCACCGGCUAACUUCGU